AGUUCCGGUCGCAGAGGAGACACUGCCGCAGUUGCCGCUACAUCGGGGGUUUCUGGCUCUUUCCUCUUCGCCUUAAAUUCGGGUGUCUUUUAUGAAUAAUCAAAAGCAGCAAAAGCCAACGCUAUCAGGCCAGCGUUUUAAAACUAGAAAAAGAGAUGAAAAAGAGAGGUUUGACCCUACUCAGUUUCAAGACUGUAUUAUUCAAGGCUUAACUGAAACCGGUACUGAUUUGGAAGCAGUAGCUAAGUUUCUUGAUGCUUCUGGAGCAAAACUUGAUUACCGUCGAUAUGCAGAAACACUCUUUGACAUUCUGGUGGCUGGUGGAAUGCUGGGUAAGUGUCUGCGGUUUGUGGGCUUAAUAAUUUAGAAAGGUAUAAUAUAUGGAGAUUAUGGAGAGUCUAGAAUAUGAACUAUUUGGCAAACUUGUUAAAAUGGAGUGAUUUUUUUGGUUGUGUUGUAUUUUGGUUUUAUCCAACUUUAGCCCCAGGUGGUACACUGGCAGAUGACAUGAUGCGUACAGAUGUCUGCGU
rnacentral:sRNA from 1 species